rnacentral:rRNA from 1 species
UACGUAGGGUGCGAGCGUUGUCCGGAUUUAUUGGGCGUAAAGAGCUCGUAGGCGGUUUGUCGCGUCGGCCGUGAAAUCUCCACGCUUAACGUGGAGCGUGCGGUCGAUACGGGCAGACUUGAGUUCGGUAGGGGAGACUGGAAUUCCUGGUGUAGCGGUGAAAUGCGCAGAUAUCAGGAGGAACACCGGUGGCGAAGGCGGGUCUCUGGGCCGGUACUGACGCUGAGGAGCGAAAGCGUGGGGAGCGAACAGG